AGAGAGAGAUUCUCAAGUAGGCUCCACAUCCAGUGCAGAGCCUGAUGCAGGGAUUGAUCCCAAGAUCAAGGUCAAGAUCAUGACCUGACCCCAAAUCAAGAUUCAGUUGCUCAACCGAUCGAGCCACCCAGGUGCCCCUCGAGUUUAGUUUUGUUUAAAAUUGGAAACAACCAGGACACCUUGGCGGCUUAGUCAACUGAGCGUCCGACCUCGGCUCAGGUCAUGAUCUCGUGGUUCGUAAGUUCAAUCCCCGCAUCGGGCUCGCUGCUGUCAGCGCAGAGCCUGCUUCAGAGUCUCUGUCCCCCUCUCGCUCUGCCCUUCCCCCUUUUGUGCUCUCUUUUCAAAAAUAAAUAAACAUUUACAAGAAGUAACAUUUGAAACGACCAAAGAGUGUGAACUGCGAGAUGUUAUGUUUUUGCUUAGUGAGUAUUUUAGUUCAUGCUUGAAAUAGUUAACUGGAUUUGAAUGAUGUGUUUGUAUACAUAUGUUUACAUAGAUACAUUUUAAGUAGGCUUCAUGCCUAGUGAAGGGCCCAGCACAGGGCUUGGACUCAUGACCUUGAGGUCAAGACCUGAGCUGAGAUCGGGUUGGAUGCUUAACCAACUGCACCACCCAGGCGCCCCUUGAAUAAAAUGUUUUGAAUUGACACUUAUUUUUUUAAUUGUUUUAAAAAGAACAAAAUCCAGAAAGUGGUUUUUAUCAAUAAAUUGUAUCUUUGGCUGACGUUGUAGUCUUAUUAACAUCCUCUUGUUAGUUACUGGAUAAUUGUUUACAUAAAUUAUUAUUAUAUCAGACCAUAACCAAAGGAUUAGAGUUCAAGCUGCUGGGCAUGUAUAAACACCAUUAUACAAAUCGUUGUGCUUUUGUGUCCUAUAGGAACUUGGAGUAACUUACAAUGUGUGAUAGUAUUGUGAGACCAGCAACUGGUUCAUAGUCAUAAAGGUGUUCUGGAGAAAUUUCAAGUGGGGCACCCGCACCAACCUAAAAUGGCAAGAGUUCAGUGGUGCUCCAUAGAGAAAAGGGAGAAGAACAAAGGAGGAGGCAAAUGAAACAAUGUCUGGAUAGGUUAAAAGUACAUAAUGCUUUCAAAAUCGCGUGUCGUUAACGGGGAUUCUGAAGAAAUGACACAUGGCCUGUCCAGCACACCUAUAAUAUUGUUAUUCGUUGUGUUUCGUGAUUUUUACAGAAAACAAUUUUGGUGUUUGGAAGACGAUUGAGUUUAAAAGUGACCUGUUGGGGGCACCUGGGUGGCCCAGUCGGUUAAGCGUCCGACUCUUGGUCUCAGCCCGGGUCGUGAUCUCGCGCAGUUGGGAGGCUGAAUUUUCCUAAGAGUACGAAUCAAGCGGCUCCUCUACCUGUAAAACGGGGAAUUCGCCUGGUGUGCAUUGGGAUCUAAAGGGAUCUCUGGGAUGUUGUGGCUGGAGAGAGACACAUGUGGAUGGUGUUGGACACUGGAUUUGUCCAUCAGAGCUCAAGCAGUCAGAAGUCACUGUGGAAGGACCAUGGGGGAUAAUUUAAGGAGCUCCAAGACCCCAUCUCACGGCCGGGUAAGGCCAAUGCCAACUUUACAGAAAGAUAGAAGAUGCUUAUAUUUAUUUAAUCACCGCAAAUGUCACUAUUAUCACAGAUGACAUUAAUUUUUAAGAGAAAAGGAAGAAAAUAUGUUACAUUUCUGUUUUGUGCAUAUGCUGAUUGAAUGAAAAGUUUAUGCCAGAUGCCAACUUAAAAUAAGGACAUAUAAAUAUUUAAUUGUUUGUAUGUAUAUGUACAUUUCUGUAUACACAAUAUGUGUCACACGGAACACUGGCUCCCAACUAGGGGCCGAUGUUGCUUCCCAGGGGACAUCUGGCAAUGUCUGGAGACAUUUUUGGCCGUUCCAGCGGGGGGAGAGAGAAUGCCACUAAUAUCAAGUGGGUAGAGGCCGGGAACGCUGCUAAACACCUUGCGAUACACGGGGCAGCCCGAAUCUGGCUCAGACGUCAGUAUUGCUGAGGCUGAGAUCCCAGCGUGGGGAGAUGCGUGGAGUACAGGGACCUUUCUUCAGUGUAUCAUUGACACAUCUCCUUGACUUAUUUAACAUCCCUGUCUCGAUGGACUUAUCUAGAAAAAAAACCCCACAAAUCACAAGCCGGGGGGGGGGGGGUUCCUCAUGGCCCCUGUGAGACACAGCCUCUGUACUCUUAGGAAUACACUUGGAGGCAGGCGCCUCCGUCCUGCUGGUUUCUCCUGAUGACAACUGUUGACCGGUACCUAACGUCGUGUGUGGCUCACCUGGCUGGAAGCCCCACCUGUAGAAAGGGAAAGGGAGAGGCAAGGUGGGGAACUGGAGAGGAGGGGGCAAGUCAUUUUAGAGCUUUAUGAAGCCCUGAGUAUUAGCACGUCCUUUCAAUCACU